rnacentral:rRNA from 1 species
UACCACCCUUUGUUUAUUACACUUUGUUGCUUUGGCAAGCCUGCCCUCGGGCUGCUGGCUCCGGCCGGCGAGCGCUUGCCAGAGGACCUAAACUCUGUUUGUCUAUACUGUCUGAGUACUAUAUAAUAGUUAAAACUUUCAACAACGGAUCUCUUGGUUCUGGCAUCGAUGAAGAACGCAGCGAAAUGCGAUAAGUAAUGUGAAUUGCAGAAUUCAGUGAAUCAUCGAAUCUUUGAACGCACAUUGCGCCCCCUGGUAUUCCGGGGGGCAUGCCUGUCCGAGCGUCAUUACAACCCUCAAGCUCAGCUUGGUGUUGGGCCCCGCCGCCCCGGCGGGCCCUAAAGUCAGUGGCGGUGCCGUCCGGCUCCGAGCGUAGUAAUUCUUCUCGCUCUGGAGGUCCGGUCGUGUGCUCGCCAGCAACCCCCAAUUUUUUUCAUGUUGUUCUCGGAUCAGGUAGGGAUACCCGCUGAACUUAAGCAUAUCAAUAA